GCUCCUGAAUCUUUUUCAAAGCAUAUGAAAUGUGGUAUUCCCUAGCUUAGGAAUUAAAUACAAUUCUUCUAGAUUCUACAUAACUAUUUUUGCUUUAAUAUUUUCCUUGAGUCAUAUGCUCUAACUCAAUUAUACAUUUCUAAUAUUCUCCUCUGAGUUCCUAUUUACCUGCAUUCCUUUUCAUUAUAAAUGCCACAAAAUAGAAACCAUAAUAUACUGCCAUUCUACUGAAAUAUUUCACUGAGCUUUUUUCACUAAGAUUUUUAAUCAAAAAGAUGGAUUUAUACUAAUUCACUCAUAUCUAGGCCAUCUUUCUUCAAAUCUUAUGUAUUUGCUUGACAAUCAUGUAGCAGAAGAGCACCCAGACUGCUGCCUGCUGGUGAUGGACACCCACAUGGAAAGACGUGGUUUCCAGCCCAUGGAGGCAGCAUUUGAACCUUGUACAAUUAACUUUCAGUUAUGAUUUCCCAUCGACAUUUUCUUUGCCCUGCUUAUAGCUGAAUAUUGUUUUAUAAAUCCUCUGUUAAAGCCAGAAGGAUGAUUAUGAGUAGAUCACAGCAGCCCUAACAAGGUGGGCCAGAAAAUUUCACUAGGUCAGUAAUUGAAACUCUGGAUAUUCAAAAGAAAAAUAAUAAUGAUGACGUGAAGAAAAACCAACUAAAAAGUGAUUCUUGCACAUGAACUGUCAUAUGUUUAAAAUGUGGUUUUUAGAGUGCCUCAGUCUUACUGAUUUCAAAUGUUUUCUUCUAUGCAUUCCUUUUAAGAGAACCGUCAGUUAGUUAUCAGACUCUAGGUUGAUGCAUUUUGUACUUAGCUGUACUGUGUGAUAUUUUUCAUUAUUUUAGGACACCAACAUGAGACCUGCAAUAAAAUAUGUAAUGGGGUUGAAAGCUGGGGAGGAGGAUCUACUGCUGUACAGCUAAUAAAUCAUGACAGAUUAACAAGUGAAAAAAAUGGCAGGGAGAUAAAAGCGUGUAGACUGAACUUGUCCUUCCUAGCAAAACCCCUCUCCCUUCUGCAUCAGAGUUGAGUGUGGCUACUUCCUAUGAGCCAGAGAGGACUUUGUAGUCCUAAUGAGUCUCACCUUUAACACACUUCAUGCCUUCAAAUAGAGCUGAGGGUCUCAGAGGGAGAACAAGUUUAUAUAAAUAAGACUUUAAAAUUGUAUGAAAAACUUUUUAAAAGACGUUUCUGGUGAAUUUAAUUCUAUGGAAAAGCUGUGGAGUAGACUGUAACUAUACGAACAAAGUAAAGUGGAGCCCUGAGACAAUUAUUUAAAAACUCAAAGCAGGUUUCUUCUUUGAUCUGUCAAAAUUACUUCAAAAAUUUCCUUCUUUCUUAAUUUCAUGCUGUAUGUUUUGCCAGAAAAAUUAUAUUGGAGUUUUGUUCCAAAAGUAAUACUACUUCAGAUUUGAAUUUUUUAAAUAUUUUAGUUACAUUGCUUGACUUGUCCUCAUAGUUUGUGUUUGCUUAAUAUAUGAUAGCUUUAUUGAGCUAUAAUUCACAUACCACAUAAUUUACCCAUUUAACAUAACUCUGGUUCACAAUAUGUUCACAGAGUUGUGUCACUGUCCUCAUAAUUUUAGAUUUUGUCAACUCAAAAAGAAACCCCAUAUGAAUUCAUAGUCAUGCUCCAUUACAGGGCAUCUCAGUUCACAAACUUAAUUCAUUUCACGAUUCUAGGAAAGAAGGCCACAUUAGGCCAAUGGAGUAGAAUUGAGUCCCAAUAAUGGAAUUCAAGAAUGGAAGCAAAAUUCUACCCAAUGCUUCUGUCCUGGAACUGAAUUGUUUACAAACAGAAAUGUCCAUGAACCAAGAAGUUGGAACUAUUAGUGAUGCUUUUAUGUUGAAAACAGUGAAAGCUAAGGAAAGAAAUAGACCAAAUCAGUAUGAGUACUAUGACUAAGCCGUAUGAUCCAAAGAUAAUGUAUCUAUUAAGGGGGAACAACACAGAAAGCUGUGAUUGGAGACGACAGUUGGUUUACUGUUACCAUUUGAUCACAAAAUUUCUAUGCCAUCUGUGGGAAGCCA
ensembl:lncRNA